UACGUAGGGUGCGAGCGUUGUCCGGAAUUACUGGGCGUAAAGAGCUCGUAGGUGGUUUGUCACGUCGUCUGUGAAAUUCCGGGGCUUAACCUCGGGCGUGCAGGCGAUACGGGCAAUACUUGAGUGCUGUAGGGGAGACUGGAAUUCCUGGUGUAGCGGUGAAAUGCGCAGAGAUCAGGAGGAAUACCGAAGGCGAAGGCAGUCUUCCAAGCCGUUAUUGACGCUCAACUGCGAAGGUGUGGGUAUCAAACAGGAUUAGAUACCCGUGUAGU
rnacentral:rRNA from 1 species